CUUUUACUCCCUUCGUCCGAAAAUACUUGCCUAGAAAUGGAUGUAUCUAGACUUAUUUUAGUUAUAGAUACAUCUAUUUUAUUCAUUUCUAGGACAAGUAUUUUGCACGGAGGGAGUACUUU
rnacentral:pre_miRNA from 1 species